AGCUGACUGAAAGCUGUGGUGUUCCUCCCGACAAGAAGCGAAUGGGCCCGCAUGGCAAAGCUCAAGGCCCAGGCCAGCUAGCAGGGCGAGUGGAAGAGAAGGUAGUGGUGGUGUCCGAAGCCAAGUUGAAACGGGAAAUUGACUUCUCCACAGGGGAUAGAAGAACUGGGGAGAGCGAGAGCGAGCACAGGCAGACAGAGUGGAAGGCAGAGUGAGAGGGAGAAGCAGACUCCCCGUGGAGCAAGGAGCCUGAUGUGGGACUCGAUCCCAGGACGCUGGGAUCAUGACCUGAGCCGAAGGCAGCUGCUUAACCAACUGAGCCACCCAGGCGUCC
rnacentral:lncRNA from 1 species